rnacentral:misc_RNA from 1 species
GAUGAAGAACGUAGCGAAAUGCGAUAAGUAAUGUGAAUUGCAGAAUUCAGUGAAUCAUCGAAUCUUUGAACGCAUCUUGCGCUCCCUGGUAUUCCGAGGAGCAUGCCUGUUUGAGUGUCAUCUAAAUCCUCAAACCACAUUGAUUCUUUCGGUGUGGCUUUGGAAGUGGGGGUAGUGUUUGCAGGUUUUAUCUUAAGUCUGCUCCCCUGAAAUGCAUUAGUGGUAUCUGAGCAGAAGGAACUACUACAGGUGUGAUAAUUUAUCUAUGCCUUAGUAUACUGCAUAAAACAGAUUACACUGCUUAUAACAAGCUUUAUUUCUUUUUUUUGGAGACCUCAAAUCAGGUAGGACUACCCGCUGAACUUAAGCAUAUCAAUAAGCGGAGGA